rnacentral:ncRNA from 1 species
GGUUAGCGACAGGGGCGCUCGGGAAGCCGGGCUGAGAUGAACCCUUAGAACCUGAACCGGAUAAUGCCGGCGGAGGGAGGCGCGCGAGAUAGUCU